GAUGAACGCUGGCGGCGUGCUUAACACAUGCAAGUCGAACGGUGAAGGCGGAGCUUGCUCUGCUGGAUCAGUGGCGAACGGGUGAGUAACACGUGAGCAAUCUGCCCCUGACUCUGGGAUAAGCGCUGGAAACGGCGUCUAAUACUGGAUACGAGCUGCGGAGGCAUCUUCAGCAGCUGGAAAGAACUUCGGUCAGGGAUGAGCUCGCGGCCUAUCAGCUUGUUGGUGAGGUAACGGCUCACCAAGGCGUCGACGGGUAGCCGGCCUGAGAGGGUGACCGGCCACACUGGGACUGAGACACGGCCCAGACUCCUACGGGAGGCAGCAGUGGGGAAUAUUGCACAAUGGGCGAAAGCCUGAUGCAGCAACGCCGCGUGAGGGACGACGGCCUUCGGGUUGUAAACCUCUUUUAGCAGGGAAGAAGCGAAAGUGACGGUACCUGCAGAAAAAGCGCCGGCUAACUACGUG
rnacentral:rRNA from 1 species